GAUGAACGCUGGCGGCGUGCUUAACACAUGCAAGUCGAGCGAGAAGUUUUGAACAGAUUCUUCGGAUGAAAUUUAAAAUGGAAAGCGGCGGACGGGUGAGUAACGCGUAGGCAACCUGCCCCAUACAAAGGGAUAGCAUUUGGAAACGAAUAUUAAUACCUUAUGAAACUUAACUAGUGCAUGCUAGGUAGGUCAAAGAUUUAUCGGUAUGGGAUGGGCCUGCGUCUGAUUAGCUAGUUGGUGAGGUAACGGCUCACCAAGGCGACGAUCAGUAGCCGACCUGAGAGGGUGAACGGCCACAUUGGAACUGAGACACGGUCCAAACUCCUACGGGAGGCAGCAGUGGGGAAAAGUGCACAAGGGGGGAAACCCUGAUGCAGCAACGCCGCGUGAACGAUGAAGGCCUUUGGGUCGUAAAGUUCUGUUCUAGGUGAUGAAAACUGACAGUAACCUAGGAGAAAGCCCCGGCUAACUCCGUG
rnacentral:rRNA from 1 species